UACGGAGGGUGCAAGCGUUAUCCGGAUUUACUGGGUUUAAAGGGUGUGUAGGCGGGCUUUUAAGUCAGUGGUGAAAUCUCCGGGCUCAACCCGGAAACUGCCAUUGAUACUAUUAGUCUUGAAUUUUUGUUGAGGUAGGCGGAAUAAGUCAUGUAGCGGUGAAAUGCUUAGAUAUGACUUAGAACACCAAUUGCGAAGGCAGCUUGCUAAACAAACAUUGACGCUGAGGCACGAAAGCGUGGGGAUCAAGCAGG
rnacentral:rRNA from 1 species